CGCCAGCAGCCGCGGUAAUACGUAGGGGGCAAGCGUUAUCCGGAAUUACUGGGUGUAAAGGGUGCGUAGGCGGUAAUGUAAGUCAGGUGUGAAAGCCCGAAGCUCAACUUCGGGAUUGCACUUGAAACUACAUAACUAGAGUACAGGAGAGGUGAGUGGAAUUCCUAGUGUAGCGGUGAAAUGCGUAGAUAUUAGGAGGAACACCAGUGGCGAAGGCGACUCACUGGACUGUAACUGACGCUGAGGCACGAAAGCGUGGGGAGCGAACAGGAUUAGAUACCCUGGUAGUCCACGCUGUAAACGAUGAAUGCUAGGUGUCGGCUCUUAAAGGGUCGGUGCCGAAGUUAACACAUUAAGCAUUCCACCUGGGGAGUACGUACGCAAGUAUGAAACUCAAAGGAAUUGACGGGGGCCCGCACA
rnacentral:rRNA from 1 species